GCCAGCAUGGCUUGGUGGUUUGAGCACUGGACUAUAACUCUAGAGACCAGGGUUUGAAUCUCUGCUUCGCUA